CUCACAGACUCCCGGGAGCAGGUGGAAGGGCCGUUUGGAGAGGCCAAAUUCAACGCUCUCCUUUUACCGACAGGAGUCUCAAGAUCUAUCGGUGGGAAAAGAUGGUCACCCCCAAAAUAACACACUGAGGACACACUGAGGAUGUAAUUGGAGUAUUUGCCGUCAUUCCAGGAUCCACAUUUUAAAAAAGAACAUUAGCAAUCCAGAUUACAUGAGCUCCCUUUUCAUUGAAGAUACUCAAGUGGAAUCUGGAUGAAACCUAUUUACUUGACAAGCAGAUACAGAAGGGCCGACCGGAGAGCCUCC